rnacentral:pre_miRNA from 1 species
GCAGACCGUUACGCGCAUAUAAUUUGGCCAUUUACGGCAUAAUCCAAUGGAAGUGGCCAAACUAUAUUAUAUCGCUCAGU